rnacentral:lncRNA from 1 species
GAACUGGAGACUUUGAAGAAAUCGUGGAUCCGGGGCCGGGCAGGGAAGGACCAGGACUGGCUGAAGGGUCCCGAGCCAGGAGGAAAUGGGGUGCUCACAGACGCAAAGUCCCGCCCCGCAGAAACGUAUUAACUGCGGAGAGCGAAGCUUACCUUUGCCGCAGGGAACCCGGGCAGAUCUUCCUUCAUCAAAUGGCCAAAUCAGACCAGGCCCCCACGCCCUGUGGGACCCCUCCAGGACCCAGCGUCCCCUCCGGGACGUCCCCGGAUGACCAGCCCCUCCCGCAGCAAACACAGCAAACCACGCGCGCGCGGAGCAGCAGGCAGCCGCCAGCGACGGCCGUUCUGGAGAACGACCCGUUGUCCCGGCGAGGGUCGAGGUCGUGCCAGGCGAGGACAGGUCACUCCAGGCUGAAGGACAUUAAAGGGACGUGGCCUUCCAAGCGGAGCUGG